AAGACAUAGCCUUAUAUAUUACACGUGACAAUAUACGGCGCAGUGACUUAUGGGGCUGGCACAAAUUUUUUUUCCAGGGCUGCUCUGUAUCCCCAGUCCGGCCCUGACCAUGGUGACCACGGGUAAUGGGGAAUCAGGGUUCGCUUACGAAGAGGGAGCCUGAGAAACGGCUACUACAUCCAAGGAAGGCAGCAGGCGCGCAAUUUACCCACUCCCGACGCGGGGAGGUAGUGAUGAAAAAUAACAAUACAGGACUCUUUCGAGGCCCUGUAAUUGGAAUGAGUACACUUUAAAUCCUCUAACAAGGAUCUAUUGGAGGGCAAGUCUGGUGCCAGCAGCCGCGGUAAUUCCAGCUCCAAU
rnacentral:rRNA from 1 species